rnacentral:rRNA from 1 species
UUGAACGCUGGCGGCAGGCCUAACACAUGCAAGUCGAGCGCGAAAGCCCUUCGGGGUGAGUAAAGCGGCGGACGGGUGAGUAACGCGUAGGAAUCUACCCAGUGGUGGGGGACAACCUGGGGAAACCCAGGCUAAUACCGCAUACGCCCCAGGGGGGAAAGCGGGGGCUCUUCGGACCUCGCGCCAUUGGAUGAGCCUGCGUUGGAUUAGCUAGUUGGUGGGGUAAAGGCCUACCAAGGCGACGAUCCAUAGCUGGUCUGAGAGGACGAUCAGCCACACUGGGACUGAGACACGGCCCAGACUCCUACGGGAGGCAGCAGUGGGGAAUAUUGCACAAUGGGCGAAAGCCUGAUGCAGCAAUGCCGCGUGUGUGAAGAAGGCCUGCGGGUUGUAAAGCACUUUCAAUUGGGAAGAAAGGUUAAUGGUUAAUACCCGUUGAUCUUGACGUUACCUUUAGAAGAAGCACCGGCUAACUCCGUGCCAGCAGCCGCGGUAAUACGGAGGGUGCAAGCGUUAAUCGGAUUUACUGGGCGUAAAGCGCGCGUAGGCGGUAUUGUAAGUGGGAUGUGAAAGCCCCGGGCUCAACCUGGGAACAGCAUUCCAAACUGCAAAACUAGAGUAUGGUAGAGGGAAGUGGAAUUUCAGGUGUAGCGGUGAAAUGCGUAGAGAUCUGAAGGAACACCAGUGGCGAAGGCGACUUCCUGGACCAAUACUGACGCUGAGGUGCGAAAGCGUGGGGAGCAAAAAGGAUUAGAUACCCGGGUAGUCCACGCCGUAAACGAUGGCAACGAGCCGGGGGAGAGCUGAGGAUCGGUAGGGGCGAAGCUAACGCGAUAAGUUGACCGCCUGGGGAGUACGGUCGCAAGAUUAAAACUCAAAUGAAUUGACGGGGGCCCGCACAAGCGGUGGAGCAUGUGGUUUAAUUCAAAACUACGCGAAGAACCUUACCAGGUCUUGACAUCCAGAGAACUUACUAGAGAUAGUUUGGUGCCUUCUUCGGGAACUCUGAGACAGGUGCUGCAUGUCUGUCGUCAGCUCGUGUCGUGAGAUGUUGGGUUAAGUCCCGUAACGAGCGCAACCCUUGUUCUUAGUUGCCAGCGGGUAAUGCCGGGGACUCUAGGAAGACAAUCCACCAUUGGUGGAGGGAAGGGGGGGAUGACGUCAAGUCAGUAUGGCCCUUACGGCCAGGGCUGCACACGUGCUACAAUGCCUAGUACAAAAGGACGCAAUACCGCGAGGUGGAGCAAAUCCCCAAAACUAGGCCCAGUUCGGAUUGGAGUCUGCAACUCGACUCCAUGAAGUCGGAAUCGCUAGUAAUGGCGUAUCAGCAAUGACGCCGUGAAUACGUUCCCGGGCCUUGCACACACCGCCC